UAGUCUUUGUUUAUAUUUUAAUUUGUUAUAAUCUAAUUUACACUAAAUUACUAAUUUAAUUGUCUAAUUUUGUAGUUUCCUUAGUAAAUUUAAUUUGUGUCAAAAUAUUUGGUGAAUUAAAUUAACGUGAAAAAAGCUGUAAAAAACCAUUUUUGGAUAGAAACAAGUUCAAUUUGAAGUUCAAUGAUAUGUCGUCUGAUGUUGCUUGUCUGGUAAUUGGCUAUUAAAAGAAGAUCAAUCAAUGGUGGUGAUGGCAAUGAUGAGACUGGGUUUUUAACGAAAAUAUCAAUAUCAUUAAUUUACAUUAAGGACAUACAGAUAAAGAGAGUUAACGAGGAUAUUUAAAGACACAUUAACAGGAUUAUUUGGUUGGUUAGUGUUUGGGUUUCGAUUUGAGCUGAAACAUUCAACUGACGAAGGAAAAGUGGCUGAUUCUUUUCAAAUGGAAACUUUCAUGUGUGAUUUUUUUUAUUCAAGAUGAUAGAAGAGUGAGAGUCAGUGAGCAUAGAGACGAUAAUAAGUUGUCAUGAAUUAUACCGUUCAUUUGUUACAUAAAGGAUUGCUGGACUUUUCAUUCUGUCUUCAAAGUAAAUUUUUGGCAAUUUUAUUAAUCACGGCUGCUUUCAAUUGUUAAUUUGACUGCUCAAUUGGUAUAUUUGUUAAUUUAGUGUUCCAGUGUGAAAUCGCCAAUCAAUAAUAAAGUCUGAGGGAAAUGAUAAGCAAAUAUAUUCAAUGAACCUCCUACUUUUCAUCCAAUCAUUUGUCUUUCAUCAUCAACAACAUCAUCAUCACAUCAUUACAACAUCUUUAAUUUAGUUGAGGUUAAAACAGCAGUUCGGUGUAUGAUAAAUCGAUGUGCAUUCUUUCCCAGUCAUCGUUCUCAUGAUUAUUUUUCUGCUUAUUCAACAAAAUCAUUUUCAAUUUUUGAUCAUAAAUGUUUUAUCAAUUAUGCAAAGAAGUCAGUGAGCAAAAAUAAUUAACCUACAAGGAAUCAGAAGCAGAAUGAUAUAGUAAAAAAAAGAUGAGCAGCAAUUUUGAUAAAUGUUUUAUUUUAAUUCUCUGCCUUAAUUAUCAACUCGAAAUGUUGGGCAACAAAAAUGAUAUUAAGUCAGUUUUAAAAUUAUUAACAGCGACUGAAAAUUUUGAUUAUCCACCGAAACAAAGGCAAAUUUUAUGGCUGAAACAGGAGAGGAUAAAAUGAUGAUCUCUGAUGAUGAUGAUGAGAGGAUUGCAAUAAUCAGACCACCUCGGAGAGAAUGGAUAAUGAUUUUCUGGGUUCCUUCUUGAUCAUCUUUAAAAAAAGUGAAAAACACAAAACUAAACUCAGCAUGGGUCAACCAUUAAUUCCCAAUGGCCUCCGACUAAGCAAGUUAACACGUUGGUAUUAGUGAGUUUAUUAAAACAUUACAUAUUACAUGCUACUUGAUGAGUUUUUAUCUGUUGCGAGGCGGAAAAGAGGAAUCAUCAAGAUGAUCAUCAUGCUCAACAUCAUUAUCAACAUGAUCGUUAUUUACCUUUUUACAAUAAAAAGAUGGACCAGUGCUGCCUGAAUCUGGAUUCAAAUGGUUCAAAUUGGAGAGUAACAUAUCAAUUUACUGAUGAUGGUUAACUAUUUCACCAGUUUACCCAACAAUAAUUACAAUUAUAAGCAAAUAUGAAUGUUAUCCUUGAAACUGGAUUAAUCGAUUAUGAUUAACAACUUUGGUCCAACCAUGAAAUCUUCAGUCCUGUUUUCAAUUUCUGUUUAUGUUUAAAUUGCUUCUCUGGUCCACCAUAACAACAUUAUCUUAUCAAAGAUUUUUACCAUUUUUCAUGACGAUUAAACUGAUAAAUUUGGUAUCAUCAUCGGUGAGCUUGGAUUCAACGGACAAGACAAUCAUUGCAUCGAUCAGCAUUUGUAACCAUGCACAGUAUUUACCGAUUGCAAUUAAAACGUUGAUUGUUUUCCCUCUCAAUUACAAUUGAGAGCGGCAAUUAUCAAUAAUAUCGUUGUCAAAUAAAUCAGUUUGAUCAUAUCAUCUUUAGUAUCUUCAAAUGUAUUCAAUGAAUCAAGGAAUGUUUCUUACAAGAUAUUGGAUAAAGCAUAUCGAGGAAAUGAUUUACUUUGAAACAAUUAUUUCUUACUUGAAGGUGGCUUAUGAUGUAAAAAGCAGAUUGUAAUCAAGUGCAUGUUGCACCGUGAAUUGAACAUGAUACUUUCAAUUCACCAAAGAAUGGUCAUCUUUGGUGCAAAGUAUCUCUUAUGGAAAUGGUCAAAUUUCAGUCUCAUGAGCAUCUAACAAGAAACAAGUCAAAAGGUUUUUGCUUCAGGUUAACCUUUAAAUUAGAUUGAAGCUAGACCAGAAGCAAUGUUGAUAAUUAUGAUUUAAUGAUGAUUAACUUAGUCUUGAAAAGAAACUCAAAAUCAACUGUGAAUCUAAACUAAUGGUUGAAUUUGAUUGGCACCAGAUAUUUUGGCACCAUCAAUGAUCCACUCGAAAGACGGUUUUAAAUAUCCAGACGCCUAAUCCAAUAAUAAACCAUCAACCUGAAUCAACCUGAACCAAAAAUCUCUCAGUAACCUGAAUUCUGAUUCAGCUCUGGCUAUUUUCGGAUAUAUAGUUCAUGGCUUCCAGACUGUGUGAAAAUUUUCUUGGUUUGGUCACAAUUUUCACUAAAUUUGAUGCUAUUUGAUCACAUAUCGUAUGCAUGUAUAGAUGAAUAAAGGUUGAUUGGGAAUGCAAUUUCUUGGUCUGGAUAAGUUUAAUAUAUAAUGAUGUUAACUAAUUGUAACCAAUGAAUGGCAAAGUAACCAUUAUUAACAAUUAUUGAUUAUCAUGGCUGUUUGACGUUAAUUGGCUGUAAUUAAAGCUCACUAUGCUUUUCCUGUAUCAACCUGCCUGGAUGACCGUAAAUGGUUUUAUUAAUAUACACAUUUGUAGUUGCAAGCCAGUUUCAGUUAAUCGCCAACAUUAAUUACUGGACUGAUUAAUAAACUGAUUUCUACUUCCAAGGUGUUGAUUAUCUUGAAAAAUACCGAUAAUUAAUCUUCUUGAUCUGAAUUUUUCUUUUUGUUGGCCGUUUCAUUUAUUUUCAAUGAAACCGUUCAUAAGAAAACUUGAGGCUUGGUGAGAUGAAAUUUAAUUUUCUUCAAAAAAGGUUAAAACUCAAGUAUAUUUAGAAUGACAAAAUUGAUUUUAAUUUCAAUAUAAUCAAUAAUUUCCUUAAAAAGUAACACAUUUAUCAUUAACCAAUGUACAUGUAUUGAUGUGUUAUAUUGCCAUAAAUGUACAUAGAGUGAUAUUAUAUGGAUAAAAUUGAUUUUAACAAGAAGAUCAAUUUUGCUACGUCAAAUGUCAGUAAUUAUUUUUAUUUGUUACAUGUAAUGUUUUACAUGAAGUUGAAAUAAAACACAACUACCUGUAGUUGCUGUUAAUAGAGAUAAUUAAUCGAUUCUUAUGAAGUAAAGUUGAUUCAGAUGUUAAAUUGCGUCAAUGGAACAAUAUUUACUCUUGAAAAUUAUCCUAUUCUGAUGCUU